rnacentral:rRNA from 1 species
GAGUUUGAUCCUGGCUCAGGAUGAACGCUGGCGGUAUGCCUAACACAUGCAGUCGAACGAAAUCUUCGGAUUUAGUGGCGGACGGGUGAGUAACGCGUGAGAAUCUGCCUCAGGACGGGGACAACAGUUGGAAACGACUGCUAAGACCCGAUGUGCCGAGAGGUGAAAUUUUAUAGCCUGAAGAGGAGCUCGCGUCUGAUUAGCUAGUUGGUAGUGUAAGGGACUACCAGGCAACGAUCAGUAGCUGGUCUGAGAGGAUGAGCAGCCACACUGGGACUGAGACACGGCCAGACUCCUACGGGAGGCAGCAGUGGGGAAUUUUCCGCAAUGGGCGAAAGCCUGACGGGCAAUACCGCGUGAGGGAUGACGGCCUAUGGGUUGUAAACCUCUUUUUUCAGGGAGGAAAAAAUGACGUUACCUGAAGAAUAAGCAUCGGCUAACUCCGUGCCAGCAGCCGCGGUAAU